AUACGGAGGGUGCGAGCGUUAAUCGGAAUUACUGGGCGUAAAGCGCACGCAGGCGGUCUGUUAAGCUAGAUGUAGAAACGCCCCGCGCUCAACGUGGGAGGGUCAUUUAGAACUGGCAGACUAGAGUCUUGGAGAGGGGAGUGGAAUUCCAGGUGUAGCGGUAGAAAUGCGUAGAGAUCGUAGGAGAACAUCAAGUGGACGAAGGCAACUCCCUGGACCAAAGCUGACGCUCAUGUGACG
rnacentral:rRNA from 1 species